rnacentral:rRNA from 1 species
GACGAACGCUGGCGGCGUGCUUAACACAUGCAAGUCGAACGGAAAGGCCCUGCUUUUGUGGGGUGCUCGAGUGGCGAAAGGGUGAGUAACACGUGAGUAACCUGCCCUUGACUUUGGGAUAACUUCAGGAAACUGGAGCUAUUACCGGAUAGGAGCUCCUGCUGCAUGGUGGGGGUGGGAAAGUUUCGGCGGUUGGGGAUGGACUCGCGGCUUAUCAGCUUGUUGGUGGGGUAGUGGCUUACCAAGGCUUUGACGGGUAGCCGGCCUGGGAGGGUGACCGGCCACAUUGGGACUGAGAUACGGCCCAGACUCCUACGGGAGGCAGCAGUGGGGAAUAGUGCACACUGGGCGGAAGCAUGAUGCAGCAACGCCGCGUGCGGGAUGACGGCCUUCGGGUAGUAAACCGCUUUCGCCUGUGACGAAGCGUGAGUGACGGUAAUGGGUAAAGAAGCACCGGCUAACUACGUG